rnacentral:rRNA from 1 species
GACGAACCGUGCGAACGUUGUUCGGAUUCAUUGGGCUUAAAGGGUGCGUAGGCGGCGCGGUAAGUCGGGUGUGAAAUCUCGGAGCUUAACUCCGAAACUGCAUUCGAUACUGCCGUGCUUGAGGACUGGAGAGGAGACUGGAAUUUACGGUGUAGCGGUGAAAUGCGUAGAUAUCGUAAGGAAGACCAGUGGCGAAGGCGGGUCUCUGGACAGUUCCUGACGCUGAGGCACGAAGGCCAGGGGAGCAAACGGG